rnacentral:lncRNA from 1 species
UAAGGGAAGGGCAGGUUAAAAUAUAAACAUGACAACCAUUCAAUCCAGCGUAUGAAUCAAACGGAUUUGCACAUGAAUGGAGAGAAAAUUAGCUGACUUUGUGAUUUGUAAGAACGCUAAGCUACAGUGACCAGUAGUCUUCCAGACCUCAGGAUUCUAUUCUUCAGCUUUUUAGAAUGAGAUGCGUUUUUGUUCCAAACUGAUGAUUUCAACUGAUGCUCUCCUGAUGCAUGGCAGACGGCGGUGCCUGUGUCUCUGAGAACACCAUGUGAAUCCCCGUGCCUGAGAACACCAUGUGAAUCUCUGUGCCUGAGAACGCAUGUGAAUCCCAGGAACAUCCUCCAACACACCAUUCAUCAGAGAAGCCCUAUCUGUGACAACAUGUUUGUGCUAAACAAGAGCAAGGGUACCACACUCAGAUACACAUAACAGCAGCGCCAUCUAUUGGCUUGACGACAUCUCAGUGGUGAGUUUAAGGAAGACCAAUACCACCAAGAACACUCUGCCUGAAUCUAGACUCUGAAAUGGGCAAGAAGAUACAGACUGAGUGGGUCCAGAAGAACUGACCCAAACAUGAUAUGUAAACCAUGUUUUAUAGUUCCUCUUCUUCUUCUUCUUCUGAGAAACUGUGUGACCUAUCUGGCCUGGGGCAAGUUAAGGUGCUCUAUGGGCUCUAAAUUAAAAUGUUUCAUUGGUAGGACUGGUGCUUCCAACUUAAAAAAGUGAGGAGGACAAAAUAAAAUCUAGGAGAACGAGAAAAUAUUAUUUUUCUUUCAAUUCGAUUGAGAUACAGCCUAUAAUGGGGCUAUGGGAUGGGGCUAUAGGAUGGGGCUAUAGGAUGGGGCUAUAGGAUGGGGCUGUAGGAUGGGGCUAUGGGAUGGGGCUAUAUGUUGUGCCCUAGGGACUAAUAGGUACCCAUGUACAUACAUUCGUUUUUUUUAAAUAAAAAGCUAAAAUGUUGAUACAAAUACAUGUCAUUGACAUUUCAAAGUCAUUUGUGGAAUGUUAGAUUUCUACAUAGUUAGGGCUCUAAAAAAUCUGUUUCCUUUUUUGCCUAAUUCAGUUUUUUUUGUUUUUUUGUUGCCAAAUUCUGUUUUCUCAGUUUUGUUUUUACAGGUUUCUCAUUAUUCUCAUUUUUUGGGGGGGGGGGUCUAAGUUCACAACAAUAAUUAAACCACAUCAAGAGACAACUUUUGAGGUCUGGGGAAAAUCUAAAGAUAAAAAAUGUUUUUGUGUAGUUUCAUUCAAGUGUGCACCAUGGACAUAUAGCAAUAGAAUGUUUGGUUACCUGUGUUUCUGGAGCCCACGUGUGUAGAUAUUGCUAAACAUAUGCCCAAUGGAUUGAUGCAAAUAAUCAUGAUAUAUGUCUUCCAGGUAGGCAUAGGCGACAUUGUAGUUAACAUUUAAUUGAGAAGGUUUUUGGAAAAGUCUUUCCAUCUACCAAAAGGCAGUUGUCAUUAGUAUCGUCGCUCACAUCUACGCAAAGUAGACCUGCACAGCACACACACAAAGACAGGAGCAUUUCUACGUCCUGUGCAUUCAUCUUCAGAAAGUUACUUUGUAGUUAACGUUCUUGUUCACUUGUGACUUAAUGAAGCUGAGGGGGACAUGCCAGCUAAGCAGGCAGGUCAACAAUGCCAUAUGGGGGUCAGCUGACAGCCGGACAGAUUGGUCCACUCAAAAGGAUGAGCUGUGGGGCUGAGGUGACAGUGACGGGAAUCUGUGUGACAUAAUAACUGAACUGGCUGUGUUAAUUUGCCCUGUGGAUGAAGGCUAACCAGCUCUACGGACAUGGUUGGAGGAGUGUGACCUGGUGAAGACGAGGGGGACACGCCAACUAAGAAAACAGGUCAACACUGCCUUGGGGCCAGUGGACAGCUUGACAGAUUGGUCCACUCAAAGUGUGUGAGCGACGGGUCUGAGAUGACUGAAAUGAGCAUAGUGCUGGAUGUCACACUCAUUGUUACCUGGCAGUCAGGAUGCCGGCCCAGUGGAGGAAUGGGGCCACUUCUUCUUCUUCUUCUUCUUCUUCUUCUUCUAAGAGACUGUGUGACAUAAUAACUGGCUUGGGGCAUCUUAAGGUGCCCUCUGGGUGAAAGCUGAACAGCUCUAUGGACAUGUUUGGAGGUAUAGGGCCAGGUGAAGCUACGGGGGACAUACCAACUAAGAAUACAAGUCAACACAGCUAUGCGGGCCAGUGCACAGCCAUUGGAUAGGCUGGGGUAACUGCUGAGCAGGUCGCUUUGGUAGACCUUUUGUACACCGUUUGUUAGGCUGUUUGGUAGACAGAUUGAUAGGCUUUUGGUAGACAGUUUGGUAGGCCUUUGGUAGGCCGUUUGGUUGAGGAGGAUUGAUGCCACCACUUCUUUUUCAUCUUCGUAUGUUUCUUCUUCAUUUAUUAUUUUUCUUCUGAGAGACUGUGAUAUUAUAACUGGCUUGGGGCGUGUUAAGGUGCCCUCUGGGUGAAGGCUGAACAGCUCUAUGGAUAUGUUUGGAGGUGUACGGCCUGGUAAAACUAAGCGGGACAUGCCAGCUAAGAAUACAGGUCAACACAGCUAUGCGGGCCUGUGCACAGCAAUUGGAUAGGCCGGGGUAACUGCUGAGUAGGUCGCUUUGGUAGGGCGUUUGGUAAGCCCUUUGGUAGGCCGUUUGGUAGACCUUUUGAUAGGCCGUUUCAUAGAAUGCUUGGUAGUAUGUUUGCUAGGCCUUUGGUAGGCUGAUUGGUAGACUUUUGGUAGGCAGUUGGUUGGCCUUUGGUAGGCCAUUUAGUAGAGGGGGAAUGAUGCCUCCCCUUCUUCUUCUUCUUCUUCUUGCCAGUAAAGUGGAGGAGUGGGGCCACUGCUCCUUCUUCUUCUUCUUCUUCUGUUUCUUCUACUUUUAUAAUUUUUCAUCUUCUCCUUCUACAAAAUGGAAGGCCGUUUGGUAGGCCUUUUGGUAGGCUUUUGGUAGGCCGUUUGGAAGGCUGAUUGGUAGGAUUUUGGUAGACAGUUUGGUAGGCCUUUGGUAGACCGUUUAGUAGAGGGGGAAUGAUUCCACCCCUUCUGCUUCUUGUUCUUCUGUUUCUUCUGAGAGACUGUGACAUAAUAACUGGCUUGGGGCAUCUUAAGGUGCCCUCUGGGUGAAGGCUGAACAGCUCUAUGGACAUGUUUGGAGGUGUACGGCCUGGUGAAGCUAAGGGCGACAUGCCAGCUAAGAAUACAGGUCAACAUAGCUACGCGGGCCAUUUGGUAGACCUAUUGGUAAGCCGCUUGGUAGUCCAUUUGGUAGGCCGCUUGGUAUGUCGUUUGGAAAGCUGUUUGGUCGGCCUUUGGUAGACUGUUUGGUAAACUGCUUGGUAGCCCACUUAGUAGGCCCUUUGGUAAGCCGUUUGGUAGGUCUUUGGUAGUUUGUUUGAUAGGUCGUUUGGUAGUCUGUUUGGUAGGCCUUUGGUAGACUUUUUGGUAGACAUUUGGUAGGCUGUUUGGGAGGCCGUUUCAAAGCCCGCUUGGUAGUGCGUUUGGUAGGCUUUGGGUAGGCUGAUUGGUAGGCUUUUGGUAGACAGUUUAGUAGGCCUUUGUUAGGCCGUUUGGUAGAGGAGGAAUGAUGCCACCUCUUCUUCUUCUUGUUCUUCUUCUGUUUCUUCUUCUUUUAUAUUUCAGUGGAGGAAUGGGGCCACAUCUUCUGAACAGCUCUAUGGAAAUGUUUGGAGGUGUGUGGCAUGGUAAAACUAAGGAGGACAUGCCAGCUAAGAAUACAGGUCAACACAGCUAUGCGGGCCAGUGCACAGCCAUCGGAUAGGCCGGCGUAACUGCUGAAUAGAUCGCUUUGGUAGGCCUUUUAUAGACCGUUUGGUAGGGCGUUUGGUAAGCUCUUUGGUAAGCCCUUUGGUAAGGCGAUUGGUAGACCAUUUGGUUGGUCUUUUGGUAGGCCUUUUGGUAGGAUGUUGGGUGGGUCGUUUGGAAGGCUGUUUGGUAGGCCAUAUCAUAGGCCGCUUGGCAGUAAGUUUGGUAGGCCAUUUGGAAGACUCUUUGGUAAGCCAUUUAAUAGGCCGCUUGGUAGUAUGUUUGGUAGGCCUUUGGUAGACUGUUUGGUAAGCCUUUGGUAGACUGUUUGGUAGGCUUUGGUAGACAGUUUGGUUGGCCUUUGGUAGGCCGAUUAGUAGAGGGGGAAUGAUGCCACAACCUUCUUCAUCUUCUUAUGUUUCUUCUUCUUCACCUUCUUUUUCUUCUUCUUUGUCUUCUUCUGUUUAUUCUUCUUUUAUUAUUUUUCUUCUUCUUCUUCUUCUUGCCAGCCAAGUGGAGAAUUGGGGCCACUGCUCCUUCUUCGUCUUCUUCUUCUUCUGUUUCUUCUUCUUAAAUAAUUUUUCGUCUUCUUAAUCUUCUUUUUCUACCAAACGGAAGACCAUUUGAUAGGCCUUUUGGUAGGCCUUUGGUAGGACGUUUGGAAUGCUGAUUGGUAGUAUUUGAUAGACAUUUUGGAAGGCCUUUGGUAGUCCGUUUAGUAGAGGGGGAAUGAUACCACCCCUUCUUCUUCUUCUUAUGUUUCUUCUUCUUUUCUUCUUCGUCUUCUUCUGUUUAUUUUUCUUCUUCUUCUUCCUCUUCUUCUUCUUCUUGCCAGCCAAGUAUAAUUGUUCUUAUUAUUCUUCUUAUUUUUCUUAUUAUUAUUAUUUUUCUUCAACCAAAUGGAAGGCCAUAUUCUUGUUCUUCGUUUUCUUCUUGUUCUUCUUGUUCUUCUUCUUCUGUUCCUUCUUCUUUUAUAAUUUUCUUCUUCUCCUUCUACCAAACGUAAUGCCAUUUUGUAGGUUGUUCAUAGGCCUCUUGGUAGUACGUUUGGUAGACAUUUGGUUGGCUGAUUGGUAGGGUUUUGGUAGACAGUUUGGUAGGCCGAUAAGUAGAGGGGGAAUGAUGCCACGCCUUCAUCUUCUUCUGUUUCUUCUUCUUCUUCGUCUUCUGUUUAUUCUUCUUCUUCUAUCAUUUUUUCUUAUUUUUCUUCUUAUUCUUAUUCUUCUUCCUCUUCUUCUUGCCAGCCAAGUAUAGUAGUGAAGCCACAGUUCCUUCUUCUUCUUCUUCUUCUUUGUCUUCUUUGUCUUCUUCUGUUUAUUCUUCUUUUAUAAUUGUUGUUAUUAUUCUUCUUCUUAUUAUUAUUAUUUCUCUUCAACCAAAUGGAAGGCCGUGUUCUUCUUCUUUUUAUUCUUCUUCUUCUUAUUAUUCUUGUUCCUCUUCUUCUGUUCCUUCUUCUUUUAUAAUUUUCUUGUUCUCCUUCUUCUUCUACCAAACGUAAGGCCGUUUCAUAGGCCUGUUGGUAGUACGUUUGGUAGACAUUUGGUAGGCUGAUUGGUAGGCUUUUGUUAGACAGUUUGGUAGGCGGUUUAGUAGAGGGGGAAUGAUGCCACCUCUUCUUCUUCUUCAUCUUCCUAUGUUUCUUCUUCAUUUAUUAUGUUUCUUCUUCUUCUUGCCAGCCAAGUAUAGGAGUGAAGCCACUGUUGCUUCUUCUUUUUCUUCUUCUUCUUUUUCUUCUACCAAAUGGAAGGCCGUAUUCUUCUUCUUCUUCUUCUUCUGGCCAGCCAAAUAUACUAGCGGGGCCACUGUUGCUUCUUCUUCUUCUUCUUCUUCUUUUUCUUCUACCAAAUGGAAGGCCGUAUUGGGGGCCACUGCUUCCUCUUCUUAAUUUUCUUCUUUUGCCAAACGGAAGUGUCACGUCCUGGCCAGUAUAAGGUUAAUUGGUAUUGUAGUUUGGUCAGGACGUGGCAGAGGGUAUUCGUUUUAUGUGGUUCGGAGUGGUGUGUUUUGUUGAAGGGGCAUUUGGUUUAAGUUUUCCGGGGUUUUUGGGCACUGUUUGGUUUUCAGGUAUUCUAUGUUUAGUCUAGUAUGUCUGGUUCUAUGUUUGGUUAAUUGGGGUUGGGACUCUCAGUUGAAGGCAGGUGUUGUCUAUCUGCCUUUGAUUGAGAGUCCCAUAUAUGAGGGGUGUGUUUGUGUUUGUUAUUUGUGGGUGAUUAUUCUGUGUUUAGCCUUGUGCCUUACCAGACUGUUUUUGUUGAUCAUUCGUUCUUUGUUAUUUUGGUGUUCAUUUUGUAUUUAUUAAAAAGCAAGAUGAGCAUACACAUACCUGCUGCGUUUUGGUCCUCCAUUUCCAACGACAAACGUGACAGGAAGACCAUUUUGGAAGGCCUUUGGUAGUCCGUUUAGUAGAGGUGGGAUGUUGCCUCCUUCUUGUUCUUCUUCUUGCCAGCCAAAUAUACUAGCGGGGGCCACUGUUGCUUCUUCUUCUUCUUCUUCUUCGUUCUUCUUUUUGCCAGCCAAAUAUACUAGCGGGGGCCACUGUUGCUUCUUCUUCUUCUUCUUCUUGCCAGCCAAAUAUACUACUGUGGCCACUGUUGCUGCUUCUUCUUCUUCUUCUUCUUCUUCUUCUUCUUCUUCUUCUUCUUCUUCUUCUUCUUCUUCUUCUUCUUCUUUUUUUUUUUCUUUUCUUCUUUUCUCUUCUUCUUCUUCUUCUUCUUCUUCUUCUUCUUCUUCUUCUUCUUGCCAGCCAAAUAUACUAGUGGGGGCCACUGUUGCUUCUUCUUCUUGCCAGCCAAAUAUACUACUGUGGCCACUGUUGCUUCUUCUUCUUCUUCUUCUUCUUGCCAGCCAAAUAUACUACCGUGGCCACUGUUGCUUCUUCUUCUUCUUCUUCUUCUUCUGCCAGCCAAAUAUACUAGCGGGGCCACUGCUGCUUUUGUUAGACAGUUUGGUAGGUGGUUUAGUAGAGGGUGAAUGAUGCCACUUCUUCUUCUUCAUCUUACUAUGUUUCUUCUUCAUUGAUUAUGUUUCUUCUUCUUCUUCUUGCCAGCCAAGUGGAGGAGUGGGGACACUGAUCCUUCUUCUUUUUCUUCUUCUUCUUGCCAGUCAAGUAGAGGAGUGGGGCCACUGCUCCUUCUUCAUCUUCUUCUUCUUCUGUUUCUUCUUUUAUCAUUUUUAAUCUUAUAACAAACGGAAGGAUGUUUGGUAGGCCUUUUGGUAGACAGUUUGGUAGGCCUUUGGUAUACUGUUUAGUAGAGGUGGGAUGUUGCCACCCCUUCUUCUUCUUCUUCUUCCUCUUCUUCUUCUUCUUCUUCUUCUUCUUCUUCUUCUUGCCAACCAAAUAUACUAGUGGGGCCACUGUUGCUUCUUCUUUUUAAAUAAUUUUUCUUCUUCUUCUUCUUCUUUGUCUUCUGCUAUUUAUUCUUCUUUUAUAAUUGCUCUUAUUAUUCUUAUUAUUUUUCUUCUUCUUCUACCAAAUGGAAGGCCGUAUUCUUCUUCUUCUUCUGUUCUUUCAUCUUUUAUAAUCUUCUCCUUCUUCUUCUACCAAACGUAAUGCCGUUUGGUAGGCCGUUUCAUAGACCUCUUCGUAGUGCGUUUGGUAGACAUUUGGUAGGCUGUUUGGUAGGCUUUUGGUCGACAGUUUGGUUGGCCUUUGGUAGGCUGAUUAGUAGAGGUGGAAUGAUGCCACCCCUUCUUUGUCUUCUUCUUCAUCUUCUUCUGUUUCUUCUUUUAUAAUUCAGUGGUGAAAUGGGGCCACGUCUUCUGAACAGCUCUAUUGACAUGUCUGGAGGUGUGUGGCCUGGUAAUACUAAGUGGGACAUGCCAGCUAAGAAUACAGGUCAAAACAGCUAUGCGGGCCAGUGCACAGCCAUUGGAUUGCCCGGGGUAACAGCUGAGUAGAUCGCUUUGCUAGGCCUUUUGUACACCGUUUGGUAAGACCUUUGGUAGACCAUUUGGUGGGUCGUUUGGUAGGCUUUUGGUAGACAGUUUAGUAGGCCUUUGAUAGGCCAAUUAGUAGACGGGGAAUAAAGUCACCCCUUCAUUUUCUUAUGUUUCUAGUUCUUCUCCUUUUUCUUCUUCAUUGUCUUCUGUUUCUUCUUCUUCUUCUUGCCAGCCAAGUGGAGAAUUGGGGCCACUGCUCCUUCUUCGUCUUCUUCUUCUUUUGUUUCUUCUUCUUUCAUAAUUUUUCUGAACGGGUAGGUCACUUGCGAUACCUCUCCAACUCGUUUUAGUGGAGGUCUGCUUGGGUGAGUGUAUAGGUUUUGAUAAUACUUUGACCCAGGGUGGCAACGUCUUAUUAAAGAGUAAAAUCCUAUAGGUACCGCUCCGACUUGAUUUAGCGGAGGUCUGAACGGGUAGGUCACUUGUGAAACAACUCCAACUUGUUUUGGUGGAGGUCGGCAUGGGUUAGUAUACAGCUUUUGAUAAUACAUUGACCCAGGGUGGCAACGUCUUUUCAAAAUAGUAAAAUCCUAUGGGUACCGCUCCGACUUGAUGUAGCGGAGAUCUGUAAGGGUAGGACACUUGUGAAACAACUCCAACUUCUUUUGGUGGAGGUCGGCAUGGGUUAGUAUACAGCUUUUGAUAAUACGUUGACCCAGAGUGGCUACGUCUUUUCAAAAUAGUAAAAUCCUAUGGGUACUGCUCCGACUUGAUUUAGCGGAGGUCUGAACGGUGAGGUUUUUGUGAAACCACUCCAACUGGUUUAGUGGAGGUCUGCUUGGGUGAGUGUAUAGCUUUUGAUAAUACUUUGACCCAGGGUUGCAACAUAUUAUCAAAAUAGUAAAAUCCUUUGGGUACCGCUCCGACUUGAUUUAGCGGAGGUCUGAACGGGUAGGUCACUUGCGAUUCCUCUCCAACUCGUUUUGGUGGAGGUCUGCUUGGGUGAGUGUAUAGCUUUUGAUAAUACUUUGACCCAGGGUGGCAACAUAUUUUCAAAAUAGUAAAAUUCUAUGGGUACCGCUCCAAUUUGAUUUAGCGGAGAUUUGAACGGGUAGGUCACUUGUGAAACAACUCCAACUUGUUUUGGUGGAGGUCGUUAUGGGUUAGUAUUCAGCUUUUGAUAAUACUUUGACCCAGGGUGGCAACGUCUUUUCAAAAUAGUAAAAUCCUAUGGGUACCGCUCCGACUUGAUUUAGCGGAGGUCUGAACCGGUAGGUCACUUGCAAUUCCUCUCCAACUCGUUUUGGUGGAGGUCUGCUUGCGUGAGUGUAUAGCUUUUGAUAAUACUUUGACCCAGGGUGGCAACAUAUUAUCAAAAUAGUAAAAUCCUAUGGGUACCGAUCCGAUUUGAUUUAGGGGAGGUCUGAACUGGUAUGUCACUUGUGAAACAACUCCAACUUGUUUUGGUGGAGGUCGGCAUGGGUUAGUGUAUAGCUUUUGAUAAUACGUUGACCCAGGGUGGCAACAUAUUAUCAAAAUAGUAAAAUCCUAUGGGUUCCGCUCCGACUUGUUUUAGUUGAGGUCUGCCUGUGUGAGUGUGUAGCCUAACGCUUUGACCCGAUUAAGCAAUGGACAGACAGCAGUGACCCCUUAUGUUUCUUCUUCUUCUUCUCCCUUUUCUGUUUAUUCUUCUUUUAUAAUUUUUCUUAUUUUUCUUCUUAUUCUUCUUCUUCCUCUUUUUCUUCUUCUUGCCAGCCAAGUAUAGGAGUUGCUACACGGUUCCCUCUUAUUCUUCUUCUUCUUCUUCUUUUUCUUCUACCAAAUGGAAGGCAGAAUAAUUCUUCUUCUUUUUUCUUGUUCUUCUUCUUCUUAUUCGUCUUCUUUUUAAAAUAAUUUUCUUCUCCUCCUUCUUCUUCUACCAAACGUAAGGCCAUUUGGUAAGAUGUUUCUUAGGGCUCUUGGAAUGAUGCCACCCCUUCUUUUUCUUCUUUUUCUUCUUCUUAAACGUAUUUGUCUAAGAGAGUCCAAUUUCUAAGAGAGUCCAAUGCUCGCUGCAUCCAGAAAAGGUCUCCUUGGGCAUGUCACUAUUGAAUAAGCCCUGGAUGAAUACUACAAGAGGUGAUUUUUCUACAACAAUUUUGGUGCCGUGACCCGGAUGGAAGGGAGACUGGCCGUCCUGGCCGGAACCUAGACAUCUCUUCAGUAUACCACAAAUAGUGGUAAAGGGACCUUUUAAAAGAUACUGUUGUUCGGUCAGGUGGGGUGGCUUAGGCUCUUCUCCUCUCCAUCCAUCUAUUGGAGUAAAAUUCUCGAGACUGUUAAAUGCAUUCUUAGAUAUAUAUAUAUAUAUAUAUAUAUGAACUGGUUCAUCAGGUAAGCUAAGGUUAAUUGGCUUCUGAAUUUGAAUCUAAGGAAAUUGAUUCUGGAGUAUUGGAACAAAAGGACAUUUGUUCCAGGGUUAGGAAGCCUAAGGUUUACUAACGUAUGUUUGAUAAUAAUAUAGACCUGAUCAUUUGUUGAAGAAAUUGACCAAUACUUUGGCGAGCUUGCCAGGAGCAUGUGACCACUUCGCUGGACUGACCAUCGAUCCACGUGCAAGCGCUACAAAAUUAUAACGUAAGCAGACACCUGUUAUAUCUAAUGUCUGUAAUUUGCUAUAGCACAUUGUGGUUAACGAGUAAUUUUGGCAAGUAAGUGGCGCCUCGCUGUUAAAUUUAUACAAACCUACAUUUCUCUGUAAUAGCGGAAUCAUUUAAAUUAUUGUUACACAACCCGCGGGAGGAAGCACAGACCACCUAGGUGGAAAUAGGUUAUACAUUCCUGGGUUAAAUGGUUAUGAUUAUGUGACUUGGUGAUAGGAUUUAGGGUGAAAUUCCAAGUAUAAAAACGCCGAAUGUUGAGAUUAUUGUGAUGAGACUUGGUGAAAGGAUUUAGGGUGAAAUUCCAAGUAUAAAAACACCGAUUGUUGAGAUUAUUGUGAUGAGACUUGGUGAUAGGAUUUAGGGUGAAAUUCCAAGUAUAAACGUCAAUUGUUGAGAUUAUUGUUUUGAGACUUGGUGAUAGGAUUUAGGGCGAAAUUCCAAGUGUAAUCGCCGACUGUUGAGAUUAUUGUGAUGAGAUUUGGUGACAGGAUUUAGGGCGAAAUUCCAAGUAUAAACGCUGAUUAUUGAAAUUAUUGUGAUGAGACUUGGUGAUAGGAUUUAGGGCGAAAUUCCAAGUAUAAACGCCGAUUGUUGAGAUUAUUGUGAUGAGACUUGGUGAUAGGAUAUAAGGCAAAAAUUCCAAGUAUAAACGCAGAUUGUUGAGAUUAUUGUGAUGAGACUUAGUAUUAGGAUUUAGGGCGAAAUUCCAAGUAUAAACACAGAUUUUUUAGAUUAUUGUGAAGAGACAUAGUGGUAGGAUUUAUGGCUAAAUUCCAAGAAUCUACGCUGAUUGUUGAGAUUAUUGUGAUGAGACUUGGUGAUAU